UACGUAGGGGGCAAGCGUUGUCCGGAUUCAUUGGGCGUAAAGAGCGUGUAGGCGGCCUGAAAGGUCAGCUGUGAAAACUCGAGGCUCAACCUCGAGACGUCGGUUGAAACCAUCUGGCUAGAGUCCGGAAGAGGAGUGUGGAAUUCCCGGUGUAGCGGUGAAAUGCGCAGAUAUCGGGAAGAACACCCGUGGCGAAGGCGGCACUCUGGGACGGUACUGACGCUGAGACGCGAAAGCGUGGGGAGCGAACGAGG
rnacentral:rRNA from 1 species